UCAAGAAUCGUGUGACUGAUUUUAUGCAUUUUAUCUUGGAUUAACAGGAUGAACGUGAGAUAAAGAGACAUAAGAGGAAUUAAUCUAACAGAGAGUCUGCUUGGAGAUCAAGAUUACGAAAGCAGGAUGCAUCAGACUCUUGGGGUAUUUCUGUAGGCUUUAUCAGCAUCAUAUUGCUACCAAUAGUCGGGAAUGCAGCAGAACAUACUGGAUCAGUCAUAUUUGCAUUGGAAAACAAGGUGGCACAUGCACAUUCCUGAUAACCACUUUGUUAAUAACCACUUGGUCAUAACCCUGACAAUUUUGGGAUUAAACAGGAUAUAUCUUUGGGUGUCUCUCUCGGGUCUGCUACACAAAUUUCAGCGUUUGUGAUUCCCCUAUGUGAUAUUGUCAGGUGGAUCAUGGGAGUCCCCAUGAAUCUUGAUUUCGGACGCCUCCAAUCUGCUUCCCUUGCUUUUGCAAUUGUUCUGACAUCCUUGACGGAUGGGACCCAGCAUUACUUAAUUGGAGUGGUACUGUGUCUUGCCUAUGUAGUGCUUGCCGCCUGUUUCAAUGUUAGCCACGGUACACGUACAAAACUCUACCACAAUUUAUUAUUAGACUCCGUAGUAGGUCGCGUUAUAAUCCUAAACCAGACGGUCAGUGCUACAUCCCUGCUCAUAAGUGGAUUUUUCUGAUAUCGUAGAUUCUCCAUCAGGACAUGCCACCUUAUAGAAGAGAUAGUAUCAGCUUGAAAUUUUGAGUGCCAAUAACCAGAAUUCACAUCUUUUACCAGUAAUAUCAGUCUGACAACUUCCAUUGCUAAUUUUGCCUCUGCCAGGCUCUAUUCCAAGAAAAAUGCUAUUACAAGACACUAUAACAAGAUAAUUCACAUACAAUCCUAGACUGUUGUUCUUCAUUUCGUGUACACUGGAAUCCUAGAUAAAAUUGGACAUCAUUGUUCUAUAUAAUAAUAGAAACAAGUUUAGGAUCAAACCAUGAUGUUCAAGAAGGUGAUAUAUCAAACCAUGAUGUUCAAGAAGGUUAUAUAUCAGUAUUACCCAUGUUUUAAGAAUUUUAUAUUAUUUGUUAGAUUUAUGAGUUAUUAAUUCUAAACUUAUAGAAUCACAGAGAUGUGGUUAUCGUUAUGCACUCGAUGCCUAUUUGCAUCAACACAUAGUGAAUUUGCAUAAUCAUGGCGAUGGCUACUUAUUCUCCGGUGUGUGAUCCACUUCUCAUACAUGGUAGUCAAUCCAUAAUUAAGUAGUGCACGCAUUGAUGUUUGUUAACAAAUUUCACAGGAGCACCUGCCAGAGACGAUCAACGCGUGAAUAAGGAGCAUAGCAGACCUUCACAGGUUGGCUAUUUCAUACACAAGGCACGGGUAAAUCGACAAAGUUUCUUUGAUGUUGCUUUUCAUUCUUCACGUCCAAAGUUACGUUGAUCAGUUCAUGCAUUUAUAUAUUUUUUGCAACAGGCAUGACUUCUGAUCCUGAUGUGAACACAGCAAUUGGAUCCAGAAUUUCUCAGACAUCUAAUUACAAUGCUGAUAUUCAAGAAACCCCGUGGUUCAUGGAAAUUCGAUUUUGUUUCUCCGUUCAUAAAGGACUGGUCAGAAUAUUCAUUUGCUAAAAACUUAACAUUCCAGUUACCAGCUUCCUACGAUGAGUUAUAAUUCAUCUGGCAGUGGUAUCGAAUAUAACAAGAUGCUUAAUUUGCUAAAAACAUAAAUAGAUA